GCUCGCUCUGAAGGCCUGUUUCCUAGGCUACACACGGGGGACUCGUUCCUUACCCUUCCGCCUAGGGGAAAGUCCCCGGACCAUGGGCAGAGAGUGCCGCGCGCACACGCGCGUAGACUUACCUCGCUUGCACGGUUAGUCCGCCAAGAAGCGACCCCCGUGCCGGGGCGAGCCGAGCGGCGUGCGGCGGGGCGUCAGCCGUCAGCUCUCCUAGUGACGCAGGCAGUGCGCCGCGCGCGCACCAACCACACGGGGCUCAUUCUCAGCGCGGC
rnacentral:RNase_MRP_RNA from 1 species